rnacentral:rRNA from 1 species
AUUGAACGCUGGCGGUAUGCUUAACACAUGCAAGUCGAACGGUAACAGGAGAGAGCUUGCUUUCUUGCUGACGAGUGGCGGACGGGUGAGUAACGCGUAGGAAUCUGCCUAGUAGUGGGGGACAACUCGGGGAAACUCGAGCUAAUACCGCAUACGCCCUACCGGGGGAAAGCCGGGGGAUCUUCGGACCUCGCGCUAUUGGAUGAGCCUGCGUUGGAUUAGCUUGUUGGUGAGGUAAUGGCUCACCAAGGCGACGAUCCAUAGCUGGUCUGAGAGGACGAUCAGCCACACUGGGACUGAGACACGGCCCAGACUCCUACGGGAGGCAGCAGUGGGGAAUAUUGGACAAUGGGCGAAAGCCUGAUCCAGCAAUACCGCGUGUGUGAAGAAGGCCUGCGGGUUGUAAAGCACUUUCAGUAGUGAAGAAAAGCCUGGAGUUAAUAACUCCGGGUCUUGACGUUAACUACAGAAGAAGCACCGGCUAACUCUGUG